rnacentral:ncRNA from 1 species
CGGCAAUGUUCGAACAUUAAUCUUCGCAGGCCGGGCAUUAUGCCCGGCCUUUUCUUUUGUCUCCU